CCAGUAGGGGGCACCAGCGACACCCUGCAGGGACCCUGUCAAUCAACAUGCAGGCAUUGAGGAGCUGCUUCGAGGGAAAAGAGCCUAGCAAGACAGGACAACUCAGUGGAGUCCGGGACCGGCCUCUUCUGCCGAGAAGGGCGUUACUGGACAGUUAGAAAAGCCCGCAUUGAGUCUGCAGCUCCCAACACGCAGUAAUGACGUAUGAUCUGCUUGAAAUUUGUCGAGAGGAAAUCUUAAUAUUCCCACCACCAAAAAAUUCAAACGACCCCGCACUACUUGUGCAAUUUUAAAAUACACUUGGGCACAUAAAAGAUUUAGACAUUGAGGGGCCGUCGCCGUGGCGCAGCAAGUUAAUGCCCUGGCCUGAAGCCUCAGCAUUCCAUAUGGGCACUGAUUCGAGACUCAGAUGCUCCACUUUCAAUCCAGCUCUCUGCUUUGGCCUGAGAAAGCAGUGGAAGAUGGCCCAAGUCCUUGGGUCCCUGCACCUGCGUGGGAGACCCAGAAGAAGCUCCUGGCUCCUGGCUCCUGGCUCCUGGCUCCUGGCUUCGAAUCCGUGCAGCUGCAGCCACUGAAGACAAUUGGGGCAUGGACCAGCAGAUGGAAGACCUCUCUCUCUGCCCCUCCUUUCUCUGUGUAACUCUGACUUUCAAAUAAAUAAAUAAAUCUUUAAAUAAAAAAAAAUUAGGCAUUGUGAAGCCAUAUAAAACAAUUUAGGAGGAGGAUGUUCAGCAGGCUGUGGGAAGAGGCGGUGAUGUAAGAAAAAUAACUGAAGGCAGCUUGGGUUCAGUCCCAGGGCGGUAUCUCCCUGACAGUGCAACAACGGGGUGCACCUGCCCUGCGCGUGCAGCAGCUUCCAGGGCUGCGGGAAAAGCGCGUGCAGGGCCAGCCGCGCCACGUUUGUGGACUCCAGAGGCAAAAGCGGCUCCUGACGGGGCCAAAGUCGCCUUUGGGCCUGAGGCUGAGGCAGGAGCUGGACAACUCCCAGGGACAAGGCAGAACUGAGGCUACAGCCAGGCCAUUGAGAACAAGAACAAUCAUAAUGAAACCCGGGGAGUGGAUCAGGUCAAACAUCCGAUGCCGAAACCCUAGGGCGGCCGCACGGAUGCAGAAGACGCCCCACUCCCGGGUCCACCGGAGCUCACGUCCAGGGCCUGUCCAGGUAAGUGCGCUGGGCCGGGAGGAACGCGGAGCCGCCUGUUCACGGUGGGCCACACGGGGGCAGCAGAAGACCGGCGGAGAAAACCGAGGGUCCUGGAGA